UGUCGGACGUGAUGUUACGAAGAAUGUCGCUGUCAACGAAGUCUUAGAAUAUUCAGAUGUUCUGUAGACAACAUGGAUAUACUUUAGUGCAAAUUGAUGGCCAGAAUGAGAAUAAGUGGAUCUCAUCUCAAUAUAAGUCAGAUAAUAUAUGGAUAGAUCGAAUAGACCUAGGAAAAGAAGGUGACUGGACUGGAGAUCUUUUUCAACGGGUAAGCGUAAGUUUACAAGCUGGAAAAAGGACCAGCCGACAAAUGGCGGAAGACUGGAGCACUGUGCAGUGACGAAUUUUAUAACUUUGGGAAAAUGGAAUGACUGGCCUUGUUCUAAAAAGUUUUCAUUUAUUUGUGAAAUAUCCGGAAAGUAAAUGAAGGAAUUUUCUGUAAAGAUUGGUCGGUUUCUUAUUAAAGUAGUCCAGAACUCAA